rnacentral:rRNA from 1 species
CCUACGGGAGGCAGCAGUAAGGAAUAUUGGUCAAUGGAGGCAGCUCUGAACCAGCCAUGCCGCGUGCAGGAAGACAGCCCUAUGGGUCGUAAACUGCUUUUAUACGGGAAUAAACUUUGAUUCGUGAAUCAAGCUGAAUGUACCGUAAGAAUAAGGAUCGGCUAACUCCGUGCCAGCAGCCGCGGUAAUACGGAGGAUCCAAGCGUUAUCCGGAUUUAUUGGGUUUAAAGGGAGCGUAGGCGGCCUAUUAAGUCAGGGGUGAAAGACGGUGGCUCAACCAUCGCAGUGCCUUUGAUACUGAUGGGCUUGAAUAUAGUUGAGGUAGCGGAAUGUGACAAGUAGCGGUGAAAUGCAUAGAUAUGUCACAGAACACCGAUUGCGAAGGCAGCUUACUAAGCUAUGAUUGACGCUGAGGCUCGAAAGCGUGGGGAUCAAACAGGAUUAGAUACCCUGGUAGUCCACGCCUAAACGAUGAUAACUCGAUGUUGGCGUAUAUACAGUCAGCGUCCAAGCGAAAGCGUUAAGUAUCACCUGGGAGUACGCCCGCAAGGUGAAACUCGAAAGGAUUGACGGCGNGAGAGNGCGAGGACGACGACGAGGGGAGGAGG